rnacentral:rRNA from 3 species
UUUAUGGAGAGUUUGAUCCUGGCUCAGGAUGAACGCUGGCGGCGUGCCUAAUACAUGCAAGUCGAGCGAACGGACGAGAAGCUUGCUUCUCUGAUGUUAGCGGCGGACGGGUGAGUAACACGUGGAUAACCUACCUAUAAGACUGGGAUAACUUCGGGAAACCGGAGCUAAUACCGGAUAAUAUUUUGAACCGCAUGGUUCAAAAGUGAAAGACGGUCUUGCUGUCACUUAUAGAUGGAUCCGCGCUGCAUUAGCUAGUUGGUAAGGUAACGGCUUACCAAGGCAACGAUGCAUAGCCGACCUGAGAGGGUGAUCGGCCACACUGGAACUGAGACACGGUCCAGACUCCUACGGGAGGCAGCAGUAGGGAAUCUUCCGCAAUGGGCGAAAGCCUGACGGAGCAACGCCGCGUGAGUGAUGAAGGUCUUCGGAUCGUAAAACUCUGUUAUUAGGGAAGAACAUAUGUGUAAGUAACUGUGCACAUCUUGACGGUACCUAAUCAGAAAGCCACGGCUAACUACGUGCCAGCAGCCGCGGUAAUACGUAGGUGGCAAGCGUUAUCCGGAAUUAUUGGGCGUAAAGCGCGCGUAGGCGGUUUUUUAAGUCUGAUGUGAAAGCCCACGGCUCAACCGUGGAGGGUCAUUGGAAACUGGAAAACUUGAGUGCAGAAGAGGAAAGUGGAAUUCCAUGUGUAGCGGUGAAAUGCGCAGAGAUAUGGAGGAACACCAGUGGCGAAGGCGACUUUCUGGUCUGUAACUGACGCUGAUGUGCGAAAGCGUGGGGAUCAAACAGGAUUAGAUACCCUGGUAGUCCACGCCGUAAACGAUGAGUGCUAAGUGUUAGGGGGUUUCCGCCCCUUAGUGCUGCAGCUAACGCAUUAAGCACUCCGCCUGGGGAGUACGACCGCAAGGUUGAAACUCAAAGGAAUUGACGGGGACCCGCACAAGCGGUGGAGCAUGUGGUUUAAUUCGAAGCAACGCGAAGAACCUUACCAAAUCUUGACAUCCUUUGACAACUCUAGAGAUAGAGCUUUCCCCUUCGGGGGACAAAGUGACAGGUGGUGCAUGGUUGUCGUCAGCUCGUGUCGUGAGAUGUUGGGUUAAGUCCCGCAACGAGCGCAACCCUUAAGCUUAGUUGCCAUCAUUAAGUUGGGCACUCUAAGUUGACUGCCGGUGACAAACCGGAGGAAGGUGGGGAUGACGUCAAAUCAUCAUGCCCCUUAUGAUUUGGGCUACACACGUGCUACAAUGGACAAUACAAAGGGCAGCGAAACCGCGAGGUCAAGCAAAUCCCAUAAAGUUGUUCUCAGUUCGGAUUGUAGUCUGCAACUCGACUACAUGAAGCUGGAAUCGCUAGUAAUCGUAGAUCAGCAUGCUACGGUGAAUACGUUCCCGGGUCUUGUACACACCGCCCGUCACACCACGAGAGUUUGUAACACCCGAAGCCGGUGGAGUAACCUUUUAGGAGCUAGCCGUCGAAGGUGGGACAAAUGAUUGGGGUGAAGUCGUAACAAGGUAGCCGUAUCGGAAGGUGCGGCUGGAUCACCUCCUUUCU